GUGGCCGGUGUACAGGUGGUGCAUGGGUUGUCGUCAGCUCGUGUCGUGAGAUGUUGGGUUAAGUCCCGCAACGAGCGCAACCCUCGUCCUAUGUUGCCAGCGGGUCAUGCCGGGGACUCAUGGGAGACUGCCGGGGUCAACUCGGAGGAAGGUGGGGAUGACGUCAAAUCAUCAUGCCCCUUAUGUCUUGGGCUUCACGCAUGCUACAAUGGCCGGUACAAAGGGCUGCGAUACCGCGAGGUGGAGCGAAUCCCAGAAAGCCGGUCUCAGUUCGGAUUGGGGUCUGCAACUCGACCCCAUGAAGUCGGAGUCGCUAGUAAUCGCAGAUCAGCAACGCUGCGGUGAAUACGUUCCCGGGCCUU
rnacentral:rRNA from 1 species